GAUCCUCAGUUAACACAAGUGGAAGCUCAGCUGGGUGUGAUCAGGUGGCAGCAAAAGGGGGUGAGACACUCUUACGGGCUGGCUGUGACAAUACCUGGGGUCAGCCAAGCAUUUCUCUUCCUCCUUUUCUCCCAGUUAGUGUGGCUGUGAGACAUUGCCAAAGACACCCAGUGCAGUCUUGUCAGCACUUCUGUUUGCACAGAACAUCUCUUCGGGUAGCAGGAGGUGUGAGGCAGCUGACCAUGUCCUGUACUUUUAAUCAUCUUGGAGUAAUGAGUUCCUACUGGUCUGAAAGUGAAAAACUCCUUCUCAGUGACCUGAGGGUUUCUCUGCUAUGGUUUUUGGGGAAUCUGAAGAUUUUACAGGUCUGAUGGUUUCCAGCUUUUCCUGCUGCAACAGGGACAAGAAAUUCCCAAGCAAAACGGAGAGCUGGAGUGUGGGGAGGUGAAGGGGGGAGGAAAUAAUUAAAAAAGC